AAGGAAUAUUGGUCAAUGGACGCAAGUCUGAACCAGCCAUGCCGCGUGAGGGAUGAAGUAUUUCGGUAUGUAAACCUCGAAAGAAUGGGAAGAAUAAAUGACGGUACCAUUUAUAAGCUCCGGCUAACUACGUGCCAGCAGCCGCGGUAAUACGUAGGGAGCAAGCGUUGUUCGGAUUUACUGGGCGUAAAGGGCGCGUAGGCGGCGCGGUAAGUCACUUGUGAAAUCUCUGAGCUUAACUCAGAACGGCCAAGUGAUACUGCUGUGCUAGAGUGCGGAAGAGGCAACCGGAAUUCUCGGUGUAGCGGUGAAAUGCGUAGAUAUCAAGAGGAACACCUGAGGCGAAGGCGGGUUGCUGGGCCGACACUGACGCUGAUGCGCGAAAGCCAGGGGAGCAAACG
rnacentral:rRNA from 1 species